rnacentral:rRNA from 1 species
UACGGAGGGAGCAAGCGUUACUCGGAAUUACUGGGCGUAAAGGGCUCGUAGGUGGCCAACUAAGUCAGACGUGAAAUCCCUCGGCUUAACCGGGGAACUGCGUCUGAUACUGGAUGGCUUGAGUUCGGGAGAGGGAUGCGGAAUUCCAGGUGUAGCGGUGAAAUGCGUAGAUAUCUGGAGGAACACCGGUGGCGAAGGCGGCGAUCCUGGACCGACACUGACGCUGAGGAGCGAAAGCCAGGGGAGCAAACGGG